AGCAUAUCAAUAAGCGGGAGG
rnacentral:rRNA from 1 species